GAUGAACGCUGGCGGCGUGCCUAAUACAUGCAAGUCGAGCGAACAGACGAGGAGCUUGCUCCUCUGACGUUAGCGGCGGACGGGUGAGUAACACGUGGAUAACCUACCUAUAAGACUGGGAUAACUUCGGGAAACCGGAGCUAAUACCGGAUAACAUGUUGAACCGCAUGGUUCAACAGUGAAAGACGGUCUUGCUGUCACUUAUAGAUGGAUCCGCGCCGCAUUAGCUAGUUGGUAAGGUAACGGCUUACCAAGGCAACGAUGCGUAGCCGACCUGAGAGGGUGAUCGGCCACACUGGAACUGAGAAACGGUCCAGACUCCUACGGGAGGCAGCAGUAGGGAAUCUUCCGCAAUGGGCGAAAGCCUGACGGAGCAACGCCGCGUGAGUGAAGAAGGUCUUCGGAUCGUAAAACUCUGUUAUUAGGGAAGAACAAAUGUGUAAGUAACUAUGCACGUCUUGACGGUACCUAAUCAGAAAGCCACGGCUAACUACGUG
rnacentral:rRNA from 1 species